AGAGUUUGAUCCUGGCUCAGAAUCAACGCUGGCGGCGUGCCUCAGACAUGCAAGUCGAACGAUUAAAGCUCCCUUCGGGGAGUGCAUAAAGUGGCGCACGGGUGAGUAACACGUAAGUAAUCUACCUUCGAGUGGGGAAUAACAGUCGGAAACGGCUGCUAAUACCGCAUAAUGCAGCGGCAUCGCAAGAUGACAGUUGUUAAAGAUUUAUCGCUUGAAGGAGGAGCUUGCGGCAGAUUAGCUAGUUGGUAAGGUAAUGGCUUACCAAGGCUACGAUCUGUAACCGGUCUAAGAGGACGGUCGGUCACACUGACACUGAAUAACGGGUCAGACUCCUACGGGAGGCAGCAGUCGGGAAUUUUGGGCAAUGGGGGAAACCCUGACCCAGCAACGCCGCGUGAAGGAUGAAGUAUUCGGUAUGUAAACUUCGAAAGAAUAGGAAGAAUUAAUGACGGUACUAUUUAUAAGGUCCGGCUAAC
rnacentral:rRNA from 1 species